AAUUGACGCUGGCGGCAGGCCUAACACAUGCAAGUCGAGCGCGAAAGCACUUCGGUGUGAGUAGAGCGGCGGACGGGUGAGUAACGCGUAAGAAUCUACCUAGUAGUGGGGGACAACUCGAGGAAACUCGAGCUAAUACCGCAUACGCCCUACGGGGGAAAGCGGGGGACCUUCGGGCCUCGCGCUAUUAGAUGAGCUUGCGUUGGAUUAGCUUGUUGGUGAGGUAAUGGCUCACCAAGGCUACGAUCCAUAGCUGGUCUGAGAGGAUGAUCAGCCACACCGGGACUGAGACACGGCCCGGACUCCUACGGGAGGCAGCAGUGGGGAAUAUUGCGCAAUGGGCGAAAGCCUGACGCAGCCAUGCCGCGUGUGUGAAGAAGGCCUUAGGGUUGUAAAGCACUUUCAAUUGGGAGGAAAAGUUAACGACUAAUACUCGUUAGCCUUGACGUUACCUUUAGAAGAAGCACCGGCUAACUCCGUGCCAGCAGCCGCGGUAAUACGGAGGGUGCAAGCGUUAAUCGGAAUUACUGGGCGUAAAGCGCGCGUAGGCGGCUUUUUAAGUCGGAUGUGAAAGCCCCGGGCUCAACCUGGGAACUGCAUCCGAUACUGGAAGACUAGAGUGCGAGAGAGGGAGGUAGAAUUCCAUGUGUAGCGGUGAAAUGCGUAGAUAUAUGGAGGAAUACCAGUGGCGAAGGCGGCCUCCUGGCUCGACACUGACGCUGA
rnacentral:rRNA from 1 species